AUGUUCGCCGACGCCGGCUUCAGCUUCUCCGCCUACUCUUCUUCGCCGCCGGGGCCGGCCUACUCCUACUCCUACUCAUACUCUUCUUCCCCCACAGUCUUGUCCCACCCACACCCCGACCACUCCUCCUUCUCCUCUCCACCAUCCUCCGCUGCUCCGGCGCAACCGCCGCCGCCACCUCUGCCUCUCCCUCUCCCUCUCCUGCACCAACAACAUCAACAUCAGCAUCAGCAUCAAGCCGCCGCCGCUGUUGCUACUGCAUCCAACGACGACGACGACGACGCCAUGUACCACCACCUCGGAGACAUGGGGCAGCCAUCCCUGAUAUCAGAGUAUGACCUGGGAGCAGAAGGCGACCUGUUCAAGGCUCCGGAGCCCAUAAUCGAGGAGCCGCUGCUGGCCCUCGACCCGGUCGCCGCCGCCAUCUCGAUGAUGUCCGGCGGGGACAACGCCAUGGACGACAGCAUCAAGGUCUCCGACAUGGGGCUGAGCGAGGUGCUGUACGAGUGCGAGAAGGAGCUCAUGGAGAAGUCGGCCAUCGAGGAGACCAUUUCCGAGCUGCUGGACGUCAAGAUCCCCAUGCUGCAGGUCGAGGACGUCCCCGGGGAGCUCAGGGCCUCCUCAUCAUCGACAGUUGCCGCCGGCACCGGCGAGUGCUCGCUCCAGAAGAGCGUCAGCUCCGGGUGCCUCAGCUCGGGCGACUGGAUGAACGGGUCGGCGGUGAGGCCCAACUUCCUCGACUUCCAAGGGCUCGACUUCGAGGCCGCCUUCGGGCUCCGGCGAGCCUACAGCGAGGGUGACAUUCAGAAGCUUGGUGCCAAUACCCCUCGGCCUGGGAUCGCGGCAAAUGUGCAGGCAUCUGGUGAGAGGCUUGUGACCAUCAGCGACCUGAAAAGCGAGGAGAGGAAGCAGAAGCUCAACAGGUACAGGAAGAAGAAGAUCCAGAGGAACUUUGGCAGAAAGAUCAAGUAUGCUUGCAGGAAGGCUCUGGCUGACAGCCAGCCGAGGGUGCGAGGGAGGUUCGCCAAGAUGGACGACGGCGACAUGCUCAAGCCCAGGAAGUAG
rnacentral:rRNA from 1 species